rnacentral:rRNA from 1 species
AGGAUGAACGCUGGCGGUAUGCUUUACACAUGCAAGUCGAACGCAAGUUUUAACUUGAGUGGCGGACGGGUGAGUAACACGUGAGAAUUCGCCUUUAGGCGGGGAAUAACCAUCGGAAACAAUGGCUAAUGCCCCAUAUGCUCGUAAGAGUGAAAGGAGUAAUCCACCCAAAGAGAAGCUCGCGGCUGAUUAGCUAGUUGGUAAGGUAAUGGCUUACCAAGGCGACGAUCAGUAGCUGGUUUGAGAGAACGAUCAGCCACACUGGAACUGAGACACGGUCCAGACUCCUACGGGAGGCAGCAGUGGGAAUUUCGUCAAUGGGGGCAACCCUGAACGAGCAACGCCGCGUGCAGGAAGAAGGUUUUCGGAUCGUAAACUGCUUUUCUCGGGGAAGAGAAUGGACGGUACCCGAGGAAUCAGCCCCGGCUAACUACGCGCCAGCAGCCGC